rnacentral:misc_RNA from 1 species
AUGUUUUUGUUUGUUGUUGUUGUUGUUGGUUUGUUUGUUGUCGGAUGUGCACGAGACACACCACACAGCAAACAAGUGUUGUUGUUUUGUGGGUGUGACGAGAGACGGCAAUGACAUGACAGCAAGAUGUGAUGUGAUGUGAUGUGAACCCACACCACACCACACACACCGCUGCCAUCCCACAUCGCCCAGCCACACCCGCCCCGCACCCAUACGCCGUGCCACAGCACAUUGUUCUGCUUUGAUUGGAUUUUGUUAAUGAUCCUUCCGCAGGUUCACCUACGGAAA